rnacentral:sRNA from 1 species
UCUAACCUUAGUUUAUCACUUGCUUUUAUGAAUUAUAAAAUGUUAUGAUACUAUAAUCUGUUUCUCAGGUUAUCUGUACUAUUUUAUCUACAUUUCUUUUAUUUUUCUAUAAUGUUUUAAUUUUAUUAUCUGAUAAUAUAUUCUAAUGUCUAGCGAUAGAAUACCCAUAAUCUUUCACCAAAUAUUUUGAGUUUAUUUGGGGAACACAAAUUAUGAAUAUGGAAUAUAUGUUCAACAUUUAGUUUUAUUCUUUUAUUUUAUCUAGCUUCGUUGGAUACCACUACCUGGGAAUAUCCAGAUGUCUGCAGACAUUAUUUCGGCUCCUUUGGGCAGUGGUCGAGUCUCCUUUUCUCCUUGGUGUCUCUCACUGGAGCAAUGAUAGUUUAUUGGGUGCUUAUGUCAAAUUUUCUUUUUAAUACUGGAAAGUUUAUUUUUAAUUUUAUUCAUCACAUUAAUGACACAGACA